CCUCGCGACGUUCAGCGCCGGCAUGAAGCGCAGCGUGUCGAGCUGCGGCGCGUUGAGGAGCACGCCGGCUUCGAACGCCUGCGCGACGA
rnacentral:tRNA from 1 species